rnacentral:rRNA from 1 species
CGGCAAGAGCUCAAAUUUGAAAUCUGGCCCCUUUGGGGUCCGAGUUGUAAUUUGCAGAGGAUGCUUCGGGUGCGGUCCCCGUCUAAGUGCCCUGGAACGGGCCGUCAUAGAGGGUGAGAAUCCCGUCUGGGAUGGGCGGCCGCGCCCGUGUGAAGCUCCUUCGACGAGUCGAGUUGUUUGGGAAUGCAGCUCUAAGCGGGUGGUAAAUUUCAUCUAAAGCUAAAUACUGGCCGGAGACCGAUAGCGCACAAGUAGAGUGAUCGAAAGAUGAAAAGCACUUUGAAAAGAGAGUUAAACAGCACGUGAAAUUGUUGAAAGGGAAGCGUUGUCCACCAGACUCGCCCGGGGGGGUUCAGCCGGCACGUGUGCCGGUGUACUCCCCUCCGGGCGGGCCAGCAUCGGUUUGGGCGGCUGGUGAAAGGCCCCGGGAAUGUGCCACCCUUCGGGGUGCCUUAUAGCCCGGGGUGCCAUGCAGCCAGCCUGGACCGAGGCCCGCGCUUCGGCGAGGAUGCUGGCGUAAUGGUGGUCAACGGCC